UGUAAGAUCAAGGUACAUUAACAUAGUUGAUUCGAAUAAAUAUACACCAACAUAAGUUGUACAUCAAGUUUGAUGAGUUACAGGAAUAAUUUCCCAGCCUCUCACGAUAUUAUGAAUUGAACAAUAUAACUACAAAAAAUUGCAACAUCAAAUAUAAUUAUGCAUUAUGCUGACCCCUUUCUUUUUCCAUUAUAUUCUGAGGACUCUUUACCCUUGCCGAAUGUCACAUUCAAUGAAACCUCAAGGUUUCAUUUCUCGGCUAUUCAAGCUAGACUUUCGAACAUUUUGCAACUCAUCGACUUCUUCAUUCACAGUAGGAUUUAUUGCUUCAUUAAUUGUACUGAUUCGCCAUUUGCUUUUUCUAUUACCCAACUAAAAAAUUCGUAGUCAUUAUUGCAAGUUUUGAAUAGUUGGCCUUUGUUAUUGCCCUCAUUUUAAACCUCAAAACAUUUUUGGAUUCCAUCUACACACCAUGGACAACGUUGUUUUUUGUGGCAUUCUCCGAAGAAGUGAUCUGUGCUUCGACAACUGUAACAAACACCAUAAUUCCUGCCUCCUCAUCCCUACAUGGAAAACAAUCACAUGCAUCCAAGUUAGCGUACAUAUAGCUACCAAGUCAUAGCAAAGAGCAGUACAUAUAGCUACUAAGUGUUUCAAAAUACAACUGAUUUUUUUCUUCUCAAUUCUACACUAGCAAGGAGCAAAGGUGGUAAAUUUACAAAUUUGCAUAAUAACAUACAACAAUUUCUAUAGAUUAGAGCAUGACAAUUCCAAAAAUACAAGUUGAUCACCACAUUACAAUUGUUUAGAUGUCAACCAGAGCUUCAAAUGUGAAAGCCAAAUCAAAUUUAAAGAAAGGCCUUAACUUCCAAUUCCCAAGCACAUGAAUAUCUUAUGAUUUGAUGGCUUUCUUGUACCAAUAAUAUUCAGAAAAU
rnacentral:lncRNA from 1 species